CAACGAACAGAGUGAGAUCAGGAGGGAGAAGAGAGUACAGAUAGAUACUGAGAGAAAAUGGCGGAACUGAGCACCGUUUCACAUGAAGAGGGAAAUUGCCGGCAGUUAGAAUUCUGGACCUGAAAAAGCUUCAGCAGCGAUAGCUAUUCUCCCGAGCUCCAAAUGAUCUAAAAAUUUAUGGAGAAUUAUUUUGGAAUUAAUAAAAAAUACCGGAAGAAGAAUCACCGGGAGGGGACCCACCAGGGGAUAAUAAGCUCAGGUGGCGCCCCCUAGGGUGCGCCGUGUGAGCUUGUGGGGCCACCAGUAGGCCUCUGUGGCCCUGCUUCUCCUAUAUGAUGCCCUUUGCACUACAAAAACAAUCAAGAGAAGACUUUCGGGACAAAGCGCCACCCUCUCGAGGCAGAACCUGGGCAGGAGCAUUUUUGCUCUCCGGCAGAGCGAUUCCACCAGGGAUACUUCCCUCUGGGAGGGGGAAAUUAAAGCCAUCAGCAUCACCAGCGAUUCUCUUGUAGUGGGAGGACCAAUUUUCAUCAACAUCUUCACGAGCACCAUCUCCUCUCAAACACUAGUUCAUCUCUUGUAUUCAAUAUUUGUCUCAAAACCUCAUAUUGGUACAUGUGGGUUGCUAGUAUUGUUGAUUACAUCUUGUAGUUGAGGCUAGUUGGUUUAUUUGGUGGAAUAUUAUAUGUUUAGAUCCUUAACCAUGUACAAUACCCCUCUGAUCUUGAACAUGAAUAUGAUUUGUGAGUA